rnacentral:misc_RNA from 1 species
AUUCAAGAUGGCCGCCGCUACAAAAUGGCGGAUAAUUUAUGUUUUAUCAAUCCCAUCAAUGUGGGUAUCAAAUGAAAGGGCUCAACAAGCAGAAUACAAUAUACUAUAAAAAAUUGAAAUACAAGAUGGCGGCCGCUACAAAAUGGCGGAUAACGUAGGUUUUAUCGAUCCCAUCAAUAUGGGUAUCAAAUGAAAGUGCUCAACCAGUAUAAUCAAUGUACUAUAUAAAAUUAUAAUCCAAGAUGGCGGCCUCUACAAAAUGGCGGAUAACUUAGGUUUUAUCAAUCCCAUCAACAUGGGUAUCAAAUGAAAGGUCUCAACAAGUAAAAUACAAUUUACUAUGCAAAAUUGAAAUCUAAGCUGGCCGCCGCUACCAAAUGUCUGAUAACAAUUUUUUAUCAAUCCCACCAAUAUGGGUAUCAAAUAAAAAGGCUUGACAAGAAGAAUACAGUGCACUAUACAACCUCAAUAUUUAAGAUGGGCCUUGCAAUAAUGAAGCACUAAAUUAAUUAAACAGAAUGCGA